AAUCAACGCUGGCGGCGUGCCUCAGACAUGCAAGUCGAACGAUUAAAGCUCUCUUCGGAGAGUGUAUAGAGUGGCGCACGGGUGAGUAACACGUAAGUAAUCUACCUUUGAGUGGGGAAUAACAAUCGGAAACGAUUGCUAAUACCGCAUAAUGCAGCGGCAUCGCAAGAUGACAGUUGUUAAAGGAGCAAUCCGCUUAAAGAGGAGCUUGCGGCAGAUUAGCUAGUUGGUAAGGUAAUGGCUUACCAAGGCUACGAUCUGUAACCGGUCUAAGAGGACGGUCGGUCACACUGACACUGAAUAACGGGUCAGACUCCUACGGGAGGCAGCAGUCGGGAAUUUUGGGCAAUGGGCGAAAGCCUGACCCAGCAACGCCGCGUGAAGGAUGAAGUAUUUCGGUAUGUAAACUUCGAAAGAAUGGGAAGAAUCAAUGACGGUACCA
rnacentral:rRNA from 1 species